GUACGGACCGCCGUUCAGCUCGUACGUCUU
rnacentral:antisense_RNA from 1 species